AGCUCCAAUAGCGUAUAUUAAAGUUGUUGCAGUUAAAAAGCUCGUAGUUGGAUUUCGGAAUGGGCCAGUUGGUCCGCCGCAAGGUGAGCACUGACUGGUUUGUUCUUCUUCGCAAAGACUGCGUGUGCUCUUCGUUGAGUGUACGUAGGAUUUACGACGUUUACUUUGAAAAAAUUAGAGUGUUCAAAGCAGGCUAUCGCUUGAAUACAUGAGCAUGGAAUAAUGGAAUAGGGCUUUGGUCCUAUUUUGUUGGUUUCUAGGACCGAAGCAAUGAUUAAGAGGGACAAUUGGGGGCAUCCGUAUUUCGUUGUCAGAGGUGAAAUUCUUGGAUUUACGAAAGACGAACAACUGCGAAAGCACUUGCCAAGAGUGUUUUCAUUAAUCAAGAACGAAAGUACGC
rnacentral:rRNA from 1 species